rnacentral:tRNA from 1 species
GCGUCGUUCGCCUAGUUUGGCUUGGCACUUGGCCUCCAACCAAGAAAUGAGAAGGGUUCAAAUCCCUUACGACGCUCCA